GAUGAACGCUAGCGGGAGGCCUAACACAUGCAAGCCGAGCGGUAUUGUUUCUUCGGAAAUGAGAGAGCGGCGUACGGGUGCGUAACACGUGUGCAACCUGCCUUUAUCUGGGGGAUAGCCUUUCGAAAGGAAGAUUAAUACUCCAUAAUAUAUUGAACGGCAUCGUUUAAUAUUGAAAGCUCCGGCGGAUAGAGAUGGGCACGCGCAAGAUUAGCUAGUUGGUGAGGUAACGGCUCACCAAGGCGAUGAUCUUUAGGGGGCCUGAGAGGGUGAUCCCCCACACUGGUACUGAGACACGGACCAGACUCCUACAGGAGGCAGCAGUGAGGAAUAUUGGUCAAUGGGUGCAAGCCUGAACCAGCCAUCCCGCGUGAAGGACGACUGCCCUAUGGGUUGUAAACUUCUUUUGUAUAGGGAUAAACCUACCCUCGAGAGGGUAGCUGAAGGUACUAUACGAAUAAGCACCGGCUAACUCCGUG
rnacentral:rRNA from 1 species